rnacentral:rRNA from 1 species
UACGUAGGGUGCGAGCGUUGUCCGGAAUUAUUGGGCGUAAAGGGCUCGUAGGCGGUUUGUCGCGUCGGGAGUGAAAACACACAGCUUAACUGUGUGCUUGCUUCCGAUACGGGCAGACUAGAGGUAUGCAGGGGAGAACGGAAUUCCUGGUGUAGCGGUGAAAUUCGUAGAUAUCGGGAGGAACACCGGUGGCGAAGGCGGCGAUCUGGGUAGAUACUGACGCUGAGGUGCGAAAGCGUGGGGAGCAAACAGG